rnacentral:rRNA from 1 species
UACGGGGGGAGCAAGCGUUGUUCGGAUUUACUGGGCGUAAAGGGCGCGUAGGCGGUCGUGACAAGUCACUUGUGAAAUCUCCGGGCUUAACUCGGAACGGUCAAGUGAUACUGUCGGACUAGAGUACAGAAGGGGCAACUGGAAUUCUCGGUGUAGCGGUGAAAUGCGUAGAUAUCAGGAGGAACACCGAUGGCGAAGGCAGCUCUCUGGGCCCUAUCUGACGCUGAGGUGCGAAAGCGUGGGGAGCGAACGGG